rnacentral:rRNA from 1 species
GACGAACCGUGCGAACGUUGUUCGGAAUCACUGGGCUUAAAGGGCGCGUAGGCGGCCGACACAGUCCGGGGUGAAAGCCCCCAGCUCAACUGGGGAAGUGCCUCGGAUACUAGCCGGCUUGAGGGAGGUAGGGGCGGAUGGAACUUCCGGUGGAGCGGUGAAAUGCGUUGAUAUCGGAAGGAACGCCGGUGGCGAAAGCGAUCCGCUGGCCCUCUACUGACGCUGAGGCGCGAAAGCGUGGGGAGCAAACAGGAGUUAGAU